rnacentral:rRNA from 1 species
CAAUUUAAACAACGAAGAGUUUGAUCCUGGCUCAGGAUGAACGCUAGCGACAGGCUUAACACAUGCAAGUCGAGGGGCAGCGGGGGUAGCAAUACCCGCCGGCGACCGGCGCACGGGUGAGUAACGCGUAUGCAACUUACCUAUCAGAGGGGGAUAACCCGGCGAAAGUCGGACUAAUACCGCAUGAAGCAGGGAUCCCGCAUGGGAAUAUUUGCUAAAGAUUCAUCGCUGAUAGAUAGGCAUGCGUUCCAUUAGGCAGUUGGCGGGGUAACGGCCCACCAAACCGACGAUGGAUAGGGGUUCUGAGAGGAAGGUCCCCCACAUUGGUACUGAGACACGGACCAAACUCCUACGGGAGGCAGCAGUGAGGAAUAUUGGUCAAUGGCCGAGAGGCUGAACCAGCCAAGUCGCGUGAGGGAUGAAGGUUCUAUGGAUCGUAAACCUCUUUUAUAAGGGAAUAAAGUGUGGGACGUGUCCCGUUUUGUAUGUACCUUAUGAAUAAGGAUCGGCUAACUCCGUGCCAGCAGCCGCGGUAAUACGGAGGAUCCGAGCGUUAUCCGGAUUUAUUGGGUUUAAAGGGUGCGUAGGCGGCCUUUUAAGUCAGCGGUGAAAGUCUGUGGCUCAACCAUAGAAUUGCCGUUGAAACUGGGGGGCUUGAGUAUGUUUGAGGCAGGCGGAAUGCGUGGUGUAGCGGUGAAAUGCAUAGAUAUCACGCAGAACCCCGAUUGCGAAGGCAGCCUGCCAAGCCAUGACUGACGCUGAUGCACGAAAGCGUGGGGAUCAAACAGGAUUAGAUACCCUGGUAGUCCACGCAGUAAACGAUGAUCACUAGCUGUUUGCGAUACACUGUAAGCGGCACAGCGAAAGCGUUAAGUGAUCCACCUGGGGAGUACGCCGGCAACGGUGAAACUCAAAGGAAUUGACGGGGGCCCGCACAAGCGGAGGAACAUGUGGUUUAAUUCGAUGAUACGCGAGGAACCUUACCCGGGUUUGAACGCAUUCGGACCGAGGUGGAAACACCUUUUCUAGCAAUAGCCGUUUGCGAGGUGCUGCAUGGUUGUCGUCAGCUCGUGCCGUGAGGUGUCGGCUUAAGUGCCAUAACGAGCGCAACCCUUGCCACUAGUUACUAACAGGUAAAGCUGAGGACUCUGGUGGGACUGCCAGCGUAAGCUGCGAGGAAGGCGGGGAUGACGUCAAAUCAGCACGGCCCUUACAUCCGGGGCGACACACGUGUUACAAUGGCGUGGACAAAGGGAAGCCACCUGGCGACAGGGAGCGAAUCCCCAAACCACGUCUCAGUUCGGAUCGGAGUCUGCAACCCGACUCCGUGAAGCUGGAUUCGCUAGUAAUCGCGCAUCAGCCAUGGCGCGGUGAAUACGUUCCCGGGCCUUGUACACACCGCCCGUCAAGCCAUGGGAGCCGGGGGUACCUGAAGUCCGUAACCGCGAGGAUCGGCCUAGGGUAAAACUGGUGACUGGGGCUAAGUCGUAACAAGGUAGCCGUACCGGAAGGUGCGGCUGGAACACCUCCUUUCU